rnacentral:rRNA from 1 species
AGUGAACGCUGGCGGUAGGCCUAACACAUGCAAGUCGAACGGCAGCACAGUAAGAGCUUGCUCUUACGGGUGGCGAGUGGCGGACGGGUGAGGAAUACAUCGGAAUCUACUUUUUCGUGGGGGAUAACGUAGGGAAACUUACGCUAAUACCGCAUACGACCUACGGGUGAAAGCAGGGGAUCUUCGGACCUUGCGCGAUUGAAUGAGCCGAUGUCGGAUUAGCUAGUUGGAGGGGUAAAGGCCCACCAAGGCGACGAUCCGUAGCUGGUCUGAGAGGAUGAUCAGCCAAACUGGAACUGAGACACGGUCCAGACUCCUACGGGAGGCAGCAGUGGGGAAUAUUGGACAAUGGGCGCAAGCCUGAUCCAGCCAUACCGCGUGGGUGAAGAAGGCCUUCGGGUUGUAAAGCCCUUUUGUUGGGAAAGAAAAGCAGCAGGUUAAUACCCCGCUGUUCUGACGGUACCCAAAGAAUAAGCACCGGCUAACUUCGUG